UUUAAAUGUAAAUAAAAAUUCUAAAUUAGUAUUAGUUAUAUUCUUGAAAGUUAAAGAUUUUGGCGGUAUUUUAGUCUUUUCAGAGGAACCUGUUCUAUAAUCGAUAAUCCACGAUUAAUUUUACUUAUAUUUUUAGUUUGUAUAUCGUCGUAGUUUGAAUAUUUUAUAAGAAUAUAAAUGUUCAUAAUUUUUUAUAAAAAAAGAAAUCAGAUCAAGGUGCAGUUUAUAUAUAAGCAGUAAUGGGUUACAAUAAAGGUAUUUAAAUGGUGUAGAGUUUGAAAAUAAUUCUAUUAAAGUGGAUUUGAAAGUAAUAAAAUUUAUUUAAAUUUUAUGAUUUAAGCUCUAAAAUAUGC
rnacentral:rRNA from 1 species